CGCUUCUCCAUCCCCAGAUCCUUUUUGCCCCACCAAACCCCAGGGCUGCUGCCUCCCGCCUCGCUGAGGCCACGGGGGCUGUUGGCAGCAGCCAGCCCAGCUCGGAGCAGGCAAGAACAGCACAUCCCACAAAGGCAGCGGAAGAGAUUUUUGCGGAAGGGAUCGCAAGGACGCAGGAGUCAGCGGGCAGGCAGGCUCCCACGCGCUUGCGUUUGCAGAAAUGCCUUCUCCAGCUGCCUGACCUUCAAGGAGAAGGCUGGGGGAGAUCUGCGUGGGUCCGUGCUCCCGAGCCAGCUGGCAUGGCAGCCCCUGGCCUCCAGCCCAGGCAGCUGUGAGGAGGCAGACACUCACCUUGACCAGCAACAUAGAAAAAAAGGAAGCAAAGGAAAGGAGCUGUAAAACCAAUAACCUCACCCCCUCCCACUGCAGGGAGAAGAAGAAGCCAGG